rnacentral:rRNA from 1 species
UACAGAGGUGGCAAGCGUUGUUCGGAAUUACUGGGCGUAAAGGGCGCGUAGGCGGCCUUCUAAGUCAGACGUGAAAUCCCCGGCUUAACCUGGGAACUGCGUCUGAUACUGGGAGGCUUGAGUAUGGGAGAAGGAUGUAGAAUUCCAGGUGUAGCGGUGAAAUGCGUAGAUAUCUGGAGGAACACCGGUGGCGAAGGCGGCAUCCUGGACCGGUAUUGACACUGAGGCGCGAAAGCCAGGGGAGCAAACGGG